rnacentral:rRNA from 1 species
UACAGAGGUCUCAAGCGUUUGUUCGGAUUCAUUGGGCGUAAAAGGGUGCGUAGGCGGCGCGGUAAGUCGGGGUGUGAAAUCUCGGAGCUUAACUCCGAAACUGCAUUCGAUACUGCCGUGCUUGAGGACUGGAGAGGAGACUGGAAUUUACGGUGUAGCGGUGAAAUGCGUAGAUAUCGUAAGGAAGACCAGUGGCGAAGGCGGGUCUCUGGACAGUUCCUGACGCUGAGGCACGAAGGUCAGGGGAGCAAACGGG